rnacentral:rRNA from 1 species
AGUGAACGCUGGCGGUAGGCCUAACACAUGCAAGUCGAACGGCAGCACAGUAAGAGCUUGCUCUUACGGGUGGCGAGUGGCGGACGGGUGAGGAAUACAUCGGAAUCUACUUUUUCGUGGGGGAUAACGUAGGGAAACUUACGCUAAUACCGCAUACGACCUACGGGUGAAAGCAGGGGAUCUUCGGACCUUGCGCGAUUGAAUGAGCCGAUGUCGGAUUAGCUAGUUGGCGGGGUAAAGGCCCACCAAGGCGACGAUCCGUAGCUGGUCUGAGAGGAUGAUCAGCCACACUGGAACUGAGACACGGUCCAGACUCCUACGGGAGGCAGCAGUGGGGAAUAUUGGACAAUGGGCGCAAGCCUGAUCCAGCCAUACCGCGUCGGUGAAGAAGGCCUUCGGGUUGUAAAGCCCUUUUGUUGGGAAAGAAAAGCAGCAGGUUAAUACCCCGCUGUUCUGACGGUACCCAAAGAAUAAGCACCGGCUAACUUCGU